rnacentral:lncRNA from 10 species
CUACAGAUUCAGAGGGACUGCACCUAAGAAGCCGUAUUUGAGCGACUACAUCAAAGGAGCCAUAUCUGCCUCCAGACCCUGUUUUAAAUGGAAUAAAUGUCUACAGUUGAAUUUGAAAUAGACGAAGUUUGCAAGUCAUGCACAAGUUGCUCAUUGAACAGUGUUUUUGGAAAACAUUUGGUCAGGGAGCUGACAAAAGCAGGAGGAAGAGGAAAGAAGAAGCUGAACCGAGAUGCAGUUGCAACUGUUGCUGAAGCCAUCCUGCAUGGAACCGUGAACCUGAGAGCGUUCUUUGAAGUUAUCCAAAAUUGAGACAAGUGCUGAGUCUUUGUUUACCCACUUCAGCUGGGUGUUUGGAUCAUUUCACGGGCGGGGACAGAACAUUGGACAGGGCAACUUCCUCUAUCUGAACGUGAUUCACAGAGAGGAAAAUAUCUGUCAACUGUUAGAAGGUGCUGGAUGAGUUUGCUGUCCUUGCUUAGGGGUACUGGUUUGGAGUGCAACACUGUUCUGCACUAUAUCAAGGAAUUGAGAAACUAAUGGAAGGUUAACAUCCUGUCAAAAUUAUAAUAAAUAAAAUUAAUUCAAUAAGUAAAAAACUUGUUUAGAUUAACCACUAUACGGGCAUUUAAAAAAUUAUUUAUAAUCUACUUUUGAAAAGAUACCAGAAUUCUAAGUCAGAUGCUACUGCUUGCACAGAAAUUACUCUCCUCUCAUACUGCUAUAAGUUUGCUGUUACUGCUUCCCAUUCAGGUAGUACCUAACCUCACACUUGUUCUUUUAGGCAAUUCAUCAUCUAUUCAGCCUUCCCAGAUUACCCAGUUCACUACUUCAGAUGGUAUUCUACCCACACCAUGCUUUUUUAUCUGAAUUUCUGUCAUAACUAUGGUCUUAUUGCAUUGCAACAUGUGGUUUACUUGUCUGUUUCCUCUAUUA